AGCAUAGUCAAGGACAUUUAGUUCUUUCUAAAAGGGCUGUAGAUAAUAUUCUGAGCAAUAUCCUGUGAGCUGUUUUAUAGAUACUAAAACCCCAGGUGGAGAAGUUAACUACGUAAUGACCAGGCUGUAUACAGGACAUGAACUGCAACAAUUCUGAGAAUUGACCACAAAGAGAUGGGAACAAAUGCACCCAGAACUGAAGAUUAACUGUACCUAAAACAACCAAGAUGAUGCUAGUCAGAUGACUGAUGACCAAUUUGAAGAUGACUGUUAGAGAUGAUGUGCUGUUUCAGGAUGUAGCACCCUCCUGACUCUGUCUAUAAAUGCUCUCACCCUCUGCUUGUUGGAGGAGGGGAGUUGGCCUUUUGACAGAUGUCUACUACCCUCCCCACCACCCAGUUGCCAGCAUCUGAAAUAAAGCAAACUUUCCUUUCCACCACCCUGGCCUGUUUAUUGGUUUUUGAGCAGUGAGCAGCCAGACCCCCCACACAUUCCUUUCAGUUACGACAGAAUCCUGGUCCUGCAGACGAGGUUCAGUUUGUGACGCACAUUAAGGGUAGACAAUACAGCUGUCCCCUUCUCAACAGCACCUUUCCACUCUCCCCACGUUGCCUGCGUUCAGUGUCAACUGCAUCCAAUGUUGUCCGCAUUCGAUUAUCAUCUUCCUGAACCUCAUGUCACAGGAAGCCCCCAAGGGUUGUGCAUCAUGAAGAAAGAAACAACACAGAGAACAUCAUCUGAGGCAUGCAAAAAUAAUUGUGCAUCUCCACCAGAAGAGAGCACUAUCGUCUGAGUGUGGCACUUAAAGAAAGAAAUGCAUGUUUUGAAACACAAGAAAACACCUUCCUUAAGGGAUAGUCAAAAGAAAGGAUAAAAGCUGUCUGCAAAGAGGGAAUGGUUAAGCGAAAUGAUCAUUUGAGUUAAUAAGUACAUAUGACUGUAUAAUUCCAGUAGAGACUUGAACAAUCCUGGCAGUUUGUACCAGAGGCAUGCCUCUCCUCUGGGAAGCAGCGGUAAGAGGGCACAUCUCUGUGCAAAGUGAACAAUAAAUUAAUAGAAUUUGCUAUCCCA
ensembl:lncRNA